ACGAACGCUGGCGGCGUGCUUAAUACAUGCAAGUCAAGGAGAACGUUUUUUUCGGAAAACUAUUAAACUGGCGAACGGGUGAGUAACACGUAGGCAACCUGCCUUGGAGAUGGGGAUAACCUCGGGAAACCGGGACUAAUACCGAAUAAUGCAGCGGCUUCUUUGGAAGAUGUUGUUAAAGCGGGCUUCGGCUCGCACUUCAAGAUGGGCCUGCGUCCGAUUAGCUUGUUGGUAAGGUAACGGCUUACCAAGGCGAUGAUCGGUAGCUGGUCUGAGAGGAUGAUCAGCCACACUGGGAUUGAGAUACGGCCCAGACUCCUACGGGAGGCAGCAGUAGGGAAUUUUGCGCAAUGGACGAAAGUCUGACGCAGCAACGCCGCGUGAUCGAUGAAGCUUCUAGGAGUGUAAAGAUCUGUCGUGAGGGAAGAAAAAUCUGGAUGUAAAUAAUGUUCAGACUUGACGGUACCUUACAAGAAAGCACCGGCUAACUUCGUGCCAGCAGCCGCGGUAAUACGAGGGGUGCUAGCGUUGUCCGGAAUAACUGGGCGUAAAGGGUCCGUAGGCGUUUUGCCAAGUUGAUCGUUAAAGCCACCGGCUCAACCGGUGAUCUGCGAUCAAAACUGGCAGAAUAGAAUAUGUGAGGGGAAUGUGGAAUUCCUGGUGUAGCGGUGACAUGCGUAGAUAUCAGGAGGAACACCAAUGGCGAAGGCAGCAUUCUGGCACAAUAUUGACGCUGAGGGACGAAAGCGUGGGGAGCGAACAGGAUUAGAUACCCUGGUAGUCCACGCCGUAAACGAUGAG
rnacentral:rRNA from 1 species